GCGAAUGGCUCAUUAAAAAAGUUAUCAGUUUAUUUGAUAGAUUCUUAUAUGGAUAACCGUAGUAAUUCUAGAGCUAAUACAUGCUUGAAUGCCUUACCUUUUGGGAGGGCUGUAUUUAUUAGAUAAAGACCAUCAUUAUUGGUGAUUCAUAAUAACUGAUCGGAUCGCCUGGGUUUUUGCCAGCGAUAAAUCAUUUUAAGUUUCUUCCCUAUCAGCUUUGAUGGUAGUGUAUUGGACUACCAUGGCUUUAACGGGUAACGGAGAAUUAGGGUUCGAUUCCGGAGAGGGAGCCUGAGAAACGGCUACCACAUCUAAGGAAGGCAGCAGGCGCGUAAAUUACCCAAUCCUGACUCAGGGAGGUAGUGACAAGAAAUAACAACGGAGGGCAUUCAUUGUCUUGCGAUUGCAAUGGGUACAAUUUAAAACCCUUAACGAGUAACAAUUGGAGGGCAAGUCUGGUGCCAGCAGCCGCGGUAAUUCCAGCUCCAAUAGCGUAUAAUAAAGUUGUUGCAGUUAAAAAGCUCGU
rnacentral:rRNA from 1 species